GACGUAGGAUGCGAGCGUUGUCCGGAUUUACUGGGCGUAAAGAGUUCGUAGGUGGUAUAUCAAGUCUGGUGUUAAAUAUCGGGGCUCAACUCCGAAGCAGCACUGGAAACUGAUAAACUAGAGUACAGUAGAGGCAAGGGGAAUUCCCAGUGUAGCGGUGAAAUGCGUAGAUAUUGGGAGGAACACCGGUGGCGUAAGCGCCUUGCUGGGCUGUGACUGACGCUGAGGAACGAAAGCCAGGGGAG
rnacentral:rRNA from 1 species